rnacentral:rRNA from 1 species
UACAGAGGUCUCAAGCGUUGUUCGGAUUCAUUGGGCGUAAAGGGUGCGUAGGCGGCGCGGUAAGUCGGGUGUGAAAUCUUGGAGCUUAACUCCGAAACUGCAUUCGAUACUGCCGUGCUUUGAGGACUGGAGAGGAGACUGGAAUUCAUGGUGUAGCAGUGAAAAUGCGUAGAGAUCAUAGGAAGACCAGUGGCGAAGGCGGGUCUCUGGACAGUUCCUGACACUGAGACACGAAGGCCAGGGGGAGCAAAACGGGG